AGAGUUUGAUCCUGGCUCAGAUUGAACGCUGGCGGCAUGCCUAACACAUGCAAGUCGCACGCGAAAGGGGGCAACCCCGAGUAGAGUGGCGGACGGGUGCGUAAUACGCAGGAAUCUACCCACGAGUGGGGGACAACCCGGGGAAACCCGGGCUAAUACCGCAUGAGACCUACGGGUGAAAGCGGGGGAUCGCAAGACCUCGCGCUGGUGGAUGAGCCUGCGUCCGAUUAGCUAGUUGGUAGGGUAAAAGCCUACCAAGGCAACGAUCGGUAGCUGGUCUGAGAGGACGACCAGCCACACUGGGACUGAGACACGGCCCAGACUCCUACGGGAGGCAGCAGUGGGGAAUAUUGGACAAUGGGGGCAACCCUGAUCCAGCAAUGCCGCGUGUGUGAAGAAGGCCUUCGGGUUGUAAAGCACUUUCGAUGGGGACAAACGUGUCGGGCUUAAUACGUCCGGCCUUGAUGGUACCCAGAGAAGAAGCACCGGCUAACUCUGUGCCAGCAGCCGCGGUAAUACAGAGGGUGCAAGCGUUAAUCGGAAUUACUGGGCGUAAAGCGUGCGUAGGUGGUUGGAUAAGUCAGGUGUGAAAUCCCCGAGCUUAACUUGGGAAUUGCGCUUGAUACUGUCCGGCUAGAGUGUGGUAGAGGGUAGUGGAAUUCCGCAUGUAGCGGUGAAAUGCGUAGAUAUGCGGAGGAACAUCAGUGGCGAAGGCGGCUACCUGGACCAACACUGACACUGAGGCACGAAAGCGUGGGUAGCAAACAGGAUUAGAUACCCUGGUAGUCC
rnacentral:rRNA from 1 species